GAGUAGCUGCGGCCAAAGCGUACUCGGCUCGGCGCUCCUGGGCUAGUUUUGCUUUUGCUGUCAGCAAGCGUGCUUCGCGGCUUGCGAACAAAAGCCCCGUUUAUCUCCGGCCCCCGGGAGCAUGGGUGAGUGACAAGGCGUAGGCUCUCUAGCUCGCUCUGAGGUGCUCGGUUGUUGGGCUCGUGCACGCCUCCGUGAACGCGCCCUGCACCGCGUGCCGCUUACGAAACUCCAGGUGGGGCGCGGCGCCGGGGCUCCCCGCGUCGUGUUCCGCCUUAGCCCUGCACAAUCGGUUGGCACACGGGAGCAACACCCAUAAGUCGUGUUCUAUCGCCUGCUGCCGGUUCCGUUUGUUCGUGAACUCGGCUCCUUACUUCUCCGAACGGACCGUACAGCAGCGACGGGUUCGUCC
rnacentral:misc_RNA from 1 species